GAGCAUUCUGGACGCUAGUGGGAAGCUGCCCUGUGAAGACCAGGCAGGCAGGGAAGAAUAGAGUGGUGGAGACUGGCCUGAAAAAGCUGGGGACUGGGAAAGAUCUCAGACCAGGAGUUAGAAUACUUUAUGAAUUUUCCAUCUACAGUCUCUUGUCUGAUUACACUGAGGAGAACAAAGUCAUUAAACGUAAUCACCGUGUUAAUAGAUGAGAGAUUGAAGACGCGAGGGUUGGACAACUUCCCCAAAUAUGGAUUGUGUGUGCCACAGAAAGAACAAUGAAAAGCUGUGAGUUUGGUGUAGAAAAGAUAAAUAUAAGCCCUCUCUCCACUUGUUGGCUCCCAGGAAGAAUUCAUUUAGAAGUGAAGGCCUCAGCAAGAAGACAAGCCUUGGCUCAUGUAUCAGUUAUACAUUAGUAAUGCAAAUAAAGCCAGGCACUGAACAAUCAGCUACUGGUGUUGAGAGUGGACAGAAGGUUGGGGACAAGGAUGACGCCCCCUCCCUACACACCCUACAAAAAGAGUUGGGCAAGGGAAGCAGAUGGUGGAAGCAGGGUGUAAAAUAAGAGCACGGAUGGAAGUCAGGUGGAUCUAGAGAUAGGGCUGGAGUGGGGACAAUGCAGGGAUCAGGGUCUGCCCUGCAGCCCAGUGUACCUGGUCCCUGAGUCUAGAUGUAUAAGACAGAAUUGGAGCAAGGCAAUUGCAGCAGGAACGGGAGAUGGGAGAAGGAAAUGCCUAAGACUUGAGAAGAGCCUGGAUGAUGUUGGCAAAGCUUCAUGGAUCUGGAGAUGUGGGCAGGUGCCACAGUAAGAGGAAGAAACUGAAGUUAGCUCAGCAAUGCUACAAGUGGCUUGGGCUUAACAGAAGGUUUGGCAGAUGUCAACAUUCAAUUUCACAUCCGUCCAUCUGUGAGAGAAUCCAGAGCAUGGCUGGGUUCCAUUUGGAAGGAAAGCGCCUAAUUAUUUAGGUCUGAGGGUAUGCAAAGGUAUCUUGCGUUUUCAUAUUUAGUAUGCUGGUAACAACAACAACAACAACAACAACAAAACCCACAAUGUACAGGCAUUUAUCUUUUUAAAAUCUCCCACUUAAUAGCGAAUGUUUUGAGAUUAUAAUGUGAAAUCUGUAACACUUUGUAACAUACAAAAUAAAUUUGCAUGAAUGGGUCAUAACGUUGGAAAUUAAGUUUACAAAUAAAUUGGUUUUGUUUAAAAUGCCAA
rnacentral:lncRNA from 1 species